ensembl:lncRNA
CAUGCACCCUCUUUUCUCUCUCCUUCCUGCCGUGUGCCAUUCCUCCCUCUCUCUCUCUCUCUCUCUGCACUCACCCAAAGUGGCCAGAUCUCUCCUCUCUUUCUCUUGUCCUGUCUGCAUCCCUCCACCACUCUUUCUUUCUCUUCCUCCACGCCGACCAGCCCGAGUCUGUUCACAUUCACCUCCACAAGUUGAAAGGAUCUCAACCCACCGCUUUCCCAAACUUCCUCCGGCCAAAGACUUUAUUUUCAUUCUUGACCUUUUUUGGAUCCCUCAACAUUUUACUACCGUAGACGCCGGUUGGUGUGUGUUAGGUCUCCGGUGUUGUGCCCCUGGGGACGUCUCUGUGGGUUUUGACUGGCGAGAAGAGCGGAGAAGAGUUUUUUUUGACACAAUGAAAGUUCAGCUGCUGCUCCUGUCGGCCCUUGUUGGCCUUUUGUGCGCCUUCACAAGUGCAAAUCCAAUUACAGACCCUACAGAACUUCACAAUUCAUCUGUGGUCAUUACAGAAGGAGAAACCACACCUGGUGUUGCUCUAGAGGCUAAUCCUACCACUGUUGUCACCAGUCAUCCUCCAUCUGUACCAACUACGGCCCAUUUCGAAAUUACAACACACGUUUUCAAUGACCAUACGAGUGUGCCUGUGCCUACAACUGAAGCCCUAGUCACUGAAACAGAAGCUCCCAAUACACCUACCCAAUACGCUGAAUAUACGUCUGAGGAGACCACAUCGUCCACUGAGCAAGUACUCAGUGAGUCCCAAACAGACGACCUCACUGAGACAAUGGGCCCUACUGGGACAGUGAUCCCUGCUGACACAGAGGGCACUGCUGAGAGAGUGGGCCCUGUUGGGACAGAAACCACUGACCUGAUCAUUGAGGAGGACACAGAAGGUGAGGAAAGUGUGGGAGAAAGGAGAGAGGCCCUGAGCUCUGGACAGAUUGUGGGCAUUGUAGUCGGCGCCCUGCUGGCAGUGGCCGUCAUCACAGCAGUGGUGAUUGUUGUCUUGAAGAGGAUGGGCGAAUACUCGUAAGUAACUCACUACCGCAUGUACAUAAGCACAAAGAUUAAAUCCAUGGCAGUGUUACAUAGAUGUUGGGCACUGAGUCAUCACUGAACCAUCCAAGAAUGAAGUCACAUAGGAAAGAAAAGGUGACUACGAAUUCUCCCAAACCAGCAUUUCAAUCAAAAUUGUUCCUGAGCACAUGUGAACACAGACGUUCCUUCCUGAAAGUAGAUCAAGUCCAUAUGAAGUGACAGUUUUCUGUCCCCUGUGAACAUAUGAUGAUAAUUACUGCUAAUAAUGAUGGCGAAUUUUUGUGUCACAGGUCUGCAAGGAACAAAAAGCCUGGCAGAAAGCAGAGUGUUAUGGUCUUUGUAAAGUUUUCUAUUUUACCCCUUCAGCUAAUCAUUUUAACCCCUCACACACCUAUUUACAGCCAUCUUUUUCCCAAGAGCUACUGACAAGGCUCCAUAGUUGUUCCUCUGUCUGCUGACAUAGAGUCCCAUGCUUCUAGGUGGAAAAUCCAGCAUUCAUGGUGACAAGUGGCCUUAAAAUGAGCUUGCUUAUUGACUUAGUAUCGGUCUACAUGGCCCAUGGCCGUCAGCUAGAGGGGUUUUGUGUUAACAACUUGAUUUGAUCCCUAGAAACACAGGGGCUUUGUACAUUAGAAACAGGGUUGCUAACCAGAGCAAUCGCCAUCUGUUUGUUUUUUUAAUAAGUUAACCAAUAAUCAGAUUUUCUUUAGUUAUUGUACCGUUUGAAAUAAAAAAAAAACACAAAAAACUUUUUCACAGAAAUUGAAAAUUGUGUAUUUUUUUUUAACUCCAUUCAACUUUUGAAGCUGCGUAAUCUAUGAAUUAUGCAUAAAACCAUCUAAUUUUACUUAACAAGUCCCCCGAUGAAUUAACUUUAAAAUAAUAUAAACCCUAACUGCCAAUCAUAUAAAAAAAAUCUUUUCCAUCUCUGACCGGAUCUCUCUUUGUAUCCCACAGACCUUGAGGAAAAAGCCUACAAAGCAGCGGGACCGUGCGAAGUUCUGGAAAUUCUGAACUACUGAACUGUGACGUCAUUUCUGAUUAUUAAAAACAAGCACGCGAUGCCAGAACUAAGCAAACCUAACCAGCUCUCUGGACUGUGUUAACAAAAGCGAGGGGCGAGGGGCACGGGGCACGGGGUGGGGAGGGUGGGGGGUUUAUUUUUUUAAUGUAUAUAUUGCAUGUAUGUGACACAAGAGGGGUACAUGAGCCAAAAUCCUCACCUGCCCCUGCAAACUUCCUGAUCCCGAGGAGCUGUUAAAGAGAACAAAACAAGGUGACAACAGGAUGUCAGGAAGAAUUUCAGGCUUUUCAAAUGCAUUUUGUAGAAAAAAGACAAGACAGGGGUAAGUCCUCCACAUAAGCGAUUUAGUGACUGACUUAGAUUAAUACCAAGAAAGAAAAAUGACAUAAAAAUUAGAAAUACUUACAAAUCAAAGACAUAAGGAGGCUGGGAUUAGGAAAGAAAACAAGAAAUACUGUUGCCAAUUUUGCUGGAUGUAUAUACAGUGCUAGACAAAGACUAUACUGCAUUCAGUUACUCUCAUAUGUUGCACUCGCAUAGGCUAGGCAUUUAAUAUUAUGGAAUAUGCAGUACACUAUGUACAGGCAGCCUUAGGCUAUUGUUGUGGCUAAAGCACCCACGAGCACCGGUAUAGAGUAUGCUGUCAUGCAGCCCCUAAUAGGUUGGCCAACUGGAUGAAGCUUCUGGCCCUGGUGAGCUCUGAGGGUCAUCAGACACGAAAAGACACCCCUCGUUUGCAAGAGUAACGUGACAUUCUGCCCAGUUUAACACUUACAUAUAAAAACCUAAUACAUAUCUGUGAAAUUUAGCAGAAGGGUUUGUGCCACUGUCUCUGGUAUUCUCUAGCUAGCUAAGAUGAUUUUUUUUAUUUUUUUUUUUGGAAGUGCAUUAAAAAUGUGAAUUGAAUGUACUUUUAAACUGAUACCCAUUCCAAAACAAACAACUUGGCCCGUUAGCUUAUAAAGGCUCGCACAUUUGGUUACCAGACAUAGCAGUGACAUUGUCUUGACAGUGCUUCUGUUAAUACCAGAACAGCCAUCCAGUCUUUUCAGUUGACCUGACCCUAGAUCACAUGCAUAGGAUGACAAUUUAUAAUUGCACUUUGUUUUAGUGCAAAGUGUUUGGCAGUUAUGCCUUUUUUUUUUUUUUUUUUGCAAGAGUGUGUCACAUGGAUGUACAAAUAAUGACGUCUCGGCUUACCCCUGCUUGCUUUAAAAACGUAUUUAAUAUGUGCACUGAAUGAGUGGUGUAAUAUUUAAUGAACAAGCUUCAGACACUGCAAAUGUUUGCAACGAUACAUGUCCCUCGUCCCACCCACCCCUUCUGCUUUGCUGCAUAUUAUCACUUCUGAGUCUUUAAUUUGUGCCGUCUGAUUCGUUCAAAACGUUUAUUUAAUUGCAGUGCUUUUGGUCAUACUGUUUCAAUAAAAACAAUUUAAAACACA